rnacentral:rRNA from 1 species
ACGCGAAGAACCUUACCAGGUCUUGACAUCCUCAUGAAAGCACUAGAGAUAGUGCCCCUCUUCGGAGCAUGGGAGACAGGUGGUGCAUGGUUGUCGUCAGCUCGUGUCGUGAGAUGUUGGGUUAAGUCCCGCAACGAGCGCAACCCUUGAUCUUAGUUGCCAGCACUUCGGGUGGGCACUCUAAGAUGACUGCCGGUGACAAACCGGAGGAAGGUGGGGAUGACGUCAAAUCAUCAUGCCCCUUAUGACCUGGGCUACACACGUACUACAAUGGUCGGUACAACGGGAAGCGAAAUCGCGAGAUGGAGCGAAUCCUUAUAAGCCGAUCUCAGUUCGGAUUGCAGGCUGCAACUCGCCUGCAUGAAGUCGGAAUUGCUAGUAAUCGCGGAUCAGCAUGA